rnacentral:lncRNA from 1 species
GAAUACGGGUACAUUCAUAAAGCAAAUUAAAGAUUUAUAUUUGAAUCUGAGUUCACAUUUUUAAGGAGGUGCCAAACAGCAUAGUGACGCAUCAGCUAUGUUAAACGAAGCGAUCACGUGCCACCAUUCAUCCUUCAGUCCUCCUCAACUUUAGCCUGAGGCUCAGCGAUGCAAAUUUGUAGCUUCAGGCUGUUUUGUGUCCUGGAAUAAGCAAUGAAGAACGUUCAGAAAUACUGUACAAGAAAUGCUUGCUUGACAAAUCGUUUACAAGAUUCGAGAAGAACAAGUAAACAUCAAAGAUUAAUUAUUUUUACACAGGUGUGUAUCGUAUUAAACUAGAAAUUGUCACAUCACUAGCUUAGCUGAGUAACUGCAGAACAACAACCAGCAAGGAACCUUCUCGCAGGGGAUGAGAGAGCACCAUCUCGUGUCUGGAAUUUCAUGUAACUGUAAACUGACUCCCAUAUCUCGUGUCUGGAAUUUCACCCAAGCAAAAUUUACAAGGCAAAUGGGCUGGCCACAGCGGACUCGCAUCUAUACUUUUUGCAACCAGGGAUCGAAUCCGGGCUCCAAGUGUGCACACACCGCACCCUCACCAACCCAACCAUCGGGUGGUUCCUCUAGAUGUAUAUAUAACCUUGUCGGAAAUGUCAAGUUAGGAACCAUGAACAACAAAAAUAGCACAGUGCACUUGACUAUAAAUACAGAUGCCAGGAAACUGGGUACACAAUCUUGUUAGCUGAGGUAGUUGGAUGCCACACCAUCGGCUACACAAACUAAACGAUGGCACCUAGUAUGACCUUGGUUGGCUACUCUCAUUAUCUCAAAUGAAAUGUUUGCUUACAGCUCACUAUUAAACUUCUUGUAAGAUGACUAUCAUCAAUUGUAUGGCGUGGUACACGUGUUGUAAUGCUAUGCUACUGACACAACAAAAAUGUUAAAAAUAAAUCAAUUGGCAAGAUCCAUUACACAUAAUCACCAAAGGAAUUAAGUCUCUAUCCUGUAACCAUACCAUUGUACAGAAAGAGUGUGUCCACAGCUUCUAACUGCACUUAUGCCAAAACUGAUUGCUCAACAGUUCCUUUCAGGAUCUAAAAAAUCAACGGUUAUGAACUCAGAAUACUAUUUUAAGAUAAACAAGGAUACUGGGUGCACCAUGUAAAUUCUGUUUGCAGAUGACAGCAAAUGCACAAUGUAAAUGAUCAAGUUCAUACCUGCAAAGUGAAGGAGCUACAUUGUGUGCUUUACUCCCAGAUGAGAGGUGACAUUAUGUUCAAGCAGCUUCACGCUUGCAGCAUUCAGAUCCACAAGAAGGUCAACCUUCUGGAGUGUAACAGUGCAAAUUGCUCCAUCUGUGGCCAGAUAUUAAUUUUGUCUUAUAACAGUCUAUUUGAAUGCUGAAGACAUGAGCGUUUGUUGAAAGAAACAAAAUCUAGUACAUUUAUGUUUCCAGCGAUCUUGUUGCACAAGGCAAGCCCAUCCUUCACCAUAUACAAUCUAGUACAAUAUACACCUUGCAUGACUAUACAACUUUUGGUCCAAGAAGGAAAACAAACCAUAUGUCCAGCUACCGGUUUGCAUAGCCAGUUCAUGUGCUCACAGUUCUUAGGCUAUGCAAGUAAUCUACUCUAUUGGAUUCAUUGACAAUCUCGAGUCCUGUGUGUACGUAAUUCAUAUAAGGCCCUACCUGAUUUUUAUUUCGUUAUUCAAUAGUCUUAGUUACGAUUUAUUGUAUCUCUUUCCCGAGAUGCAAUUUUUCUUGGUGCUAGGGAAUGGAUAUCUCUUCUAGAGAGGCUUAUACUUCUUUCAGUGCCCAUGGAAGAGGAAGGUCUUGGCAAAAUAGCUAGAGGAGCUGCUCAGGGUGGACAAUGAGGGAUGAUAUAUUAUCAUUGAUCAUCAACAUUUUGGUAAGCCACCCGUUGCCUAAAAGGAGGACUAUAUGACCUCCAUGCAAUAUGUAAAUGUUCUUUUGUCGCGCAUCUGAUCUGUUCUCCGUACUUGAUGAUAUUACUGCACCAUUUGCGUACUUGAUGAUAUUACUGCACCAUUUACUUGAUGAUAUUACUGCACCAUUUACUACACCUCGCUAUAUGAAUGCUUCUAGCUCAGUAUAACUUGUUAAUAACGACAUCUACAGUUGGGCUUCAAACGAAUUUCCAGAAGAAAGGUUUCAAACAAAUGGUUUGUACUAGGCUUUCAACUUGUCAUGAAUGCAGCAAUCUGCUCCUUCCAAAGCAUUUCUCAUUUAGGCAAUUAUGAUACAGGAGCUAAGAGAAGUUUCAUAAAAAGUCCGUACAUCCAAUAAUAUAAAGAAAAGUAUCAUAAAAAGUCCGAUAUUUUAAGUUCGUACCCAAUAAUACAAGGAAACUCAUACAGGUUUACCGUAUAAAGUGUGAACCUUAUUUGCUAGGGUGGGGAACUGUGCAAGAAGGCUCUAAAAGGGAUAUUCUCUCCCUUGAAGACUGGAUUAGAACCAGCCUCUGUGCAUCUCUGCUGACUGCUCACUACUAGUGAGGACUGGUUCCAAUUUGUGAAAAUUGCAAUGAACAUCUAACAACUUUCUCGGCAGUGUUGGGCACUAUCACCCAUUGAUCCUUUCCCCCAUAACAUUAAAAGUUGAUUACAACAUGUUUCAGUUAGAAUUUAGAACUCUUAUUCAACUCUCAGUAUGUAACUUAGUCGUCUUGAAUAAACAUGCUACAUUAGGCAGCCAACACUGGUUACUCAUUUUUACCGAAAAAGGCUUUCGCCCCGCUUUAUAUAUAAAGCAACGAACAUCAACAAUCCGCUACAAACGCACGCCACCACAACACACACACCCAAGGCAGGAUACAUAGGCGCUGAGCGCAGCAACACCACCCCUAGCACUACAAGACCAGCCGGGAGCUUCCACCACGAACAUGCCACCGCGAAGAGAUGAAACCGCAUAUGACGAACCGUGGGCUCCAUGGCGGCGCCUUCAGGAAAGUUACGACACCAGAGCGCUGCCAUCGCCCAAUCCGAGGAUUAGAGUUUAGAGCAACACGACGGGCAAUGAGAGCCGCGACGACGCCUUCAAGAAGGGGACAAGCUUCGCCGCCGCCGGUCCGUCCGAAGAUAGAACAAGUUUUCACCCCGGACAACACUCACCGCCACUGAACGCCACCCCCCGGCUACCAAGCCGCCCACACGGCCAUGGUCAGCGAGCAGCACCGAGCCACGGGCUCUGUCCAUGAGCACCACGCUACCACCACCAGGAUCGCCACCCCGGCAUCCAAGACCUUGACACCACCUCACCCGAGAUCCGUCGCUACCCCAACCAAAGAGAUGAGCGGAAAGGCACUGCCUUUCGCACCCCUGGGCGGCCCCCAGCGCCGAAACCCAAUAGGCCGGCCAAAACUGGCCUCCAUCUAUCCGUCCUGCAGCACCGGGCGCAAGACGAGCUUGGUCCUGCAGCCGGGCUCGAGAUGAGCUCCGUCCUGCUACCGGGCGCGAGACGAGCUUGGUCCUGCUGCCGGGCGCGAGAUAAGCUCGGUCCUGCAACACCGAGCGUGAGACGAGCGAUGGACCGUAGCUGGGAGAAGGCCAGCCCUUCGACAAAAGCAAUGCCAGGACGACGAGGAGAGUGGUAGAAGGACGACAUAGGCCGCCUACGGACGGGCCGACGCCAGAACAUGCCAGUCGCCGCCGCAGCCGACCUGCCAAGCUGCCGAGGAGCCACCCACGGCCAAAGCAGCAGCCACACCAGGCCACUGCCCAACCCGCGCCGCCAGCCGAGCUCCAAGCGUCGGAGCUGCCGGGCACGCACCAGCCCCACCUCCACCCACACAGGGAGAAACCGCAGCCCAACCACCGGCCGCCGGGCGCCGACCCCGAUCCCAAGCCCACCGGCGCAACCACAAGCCGCGUUGCCAGAAAUGGCCAAGGCGAGACCAGCCCGCGAGCGUCGCCCAUGGUACCCCCGACGGAAGCUCGGAUCCGUCAGGGCGACCGCGCAGCUCCCCACAGCGCUAGCUUCCCCCGCCGCCACGGCCCGCGUCGCCAGCCAAAGGCAUCCCCGAUCCGGCCUCCUACUUGUGCAGCUUGACCACCGCCGCCCACGGAGGCGACCAGCGUUUCCACCGUCAGGCCCAACGCCGCCUCCCACCUGCGCCGCUGCCACGGAGGCGACCACCACCGCCGCUCGCAGGAGCAGACACUUCGUCCACUUUGGCCGCCGGCGCCACAGAUAAUUCCAGCCGCUCCGUUGCAAUUGUCAUAGUAACAAGUAAACAAACACAAGAGUCAUGUCCAUAAAGCAAAUAGAUAUACUGGCAAGCAUAGGUGCAAAGAAGCACAUAUAGAGUUAGUAAUAAACUUGGAUAGAUGGUUCAAUAGAAGCACAUUGCAUCACUACCAGUAAUAACUUAGAUGACUUCUUACUUCUAAGUACCCAGAGAAUUUUCAGAGAAAUAUAGAAAUUCAGAGAAACUUGGAGUAUUACAGUGCCAGCAGCUUCAGAAUAUUCAGAUUACUUCACUAUUGUCUACAUGAUCAAUAGUGUUCACUAUAAAUCAAUCAUGCUCACGAAAUUCAUAAUCUUGUCUACAUGAUCCUGUCUGAAUAUUUUCGAAAGAAAUAUAGAAAUUCAGACUGAAUGUUUCCGUUUAUAUACUCAGAGAAUGACUGAAUAUAAAUUCCAUGUAUUUAGUCAGGACCAUGUAUAAAUAUAAAUUCCAUGACUGUCAUUAUCUUUCAGACAGGACAAUGUAUUUGCACUUCCAUGCCCAUUUAUUAAUUAAGGCCCAACUAAGCUGCUUGAGACCAUAUGGAUAGCAUAGGAAAAUGAGACUGUGCCAUAAGUUCAGUUUUCAUAUACUCCUAUAAUUCUGCAAUAAGUUUUGAUUGUGUUAAAUCUACACUAAGAUUCUGUUAUAACUUCAGUUUAUGGAGUAAAUAAUCUGCCAAAUACAGUGCUAUCCUAGUUACAGUAUCUUAACUAGAGUGCUUCUGAAAAAUAUAGCUGCCAUGGCAGCAUUUCUGGUUUGGCAGCCAUUUCUGGUUUUAACCACCAAGGAGCAAGGUGCACAAGAAAAUUCAGUUAAAUGUCAAAUUCAGGACCAUUUAGUCAAUUCUGGUCCAACGGGCUAAAUCAGAAGUCUGUGGAGUCAUAUCACUUUAUUUCACAGUUGCUAGAAUAGAAAGUUAGAAACCACAAAGAGGCAUCUCUGUUGGCAAAAUCAGACCUCCCCAACCCGCUUCCAAAUUUCAGAAUGCUAAGAUGGUACACUGUGGUAGGGAAACAUAACCCCAACAGCAAGAAUAACAAAACAGUGUACCUGUAUGCACAGCAAAGCAGGCAUAUCUCUCUUGCAAAAAAUCAUAAAAUAUCCUAAGAAUAAGACCAUGUCCAGUAAUCACACAAGGAAAACAUAUGAUUUUUCUUCUGCUGAAGAAUAACUCCAGCAUUUGUGAUCGAAGGGAUAUUUUUCAUCAGAGGCUAAAUGUGUGUACACCAUUCUGUACCAACCUAGAGGCUACACCAUUUCACAGUAUCCACAAUUAUCCGCAAAGAUUAACAGUGCAUAGCAUAAUAGGUAUCACAGAUCAGCAGAUGCACUGGAAGCAAGCAAACAGAAGUACACAGCCUGUCAUUUUCACUGGAACCAAAUGCAGCAGCUGAAAGGCAUUUUCACUGCACUUAACACCCUCACAACCUGCCAUUUCAAUCCUCACGAAGCAAUUCCUCACUUGCAUAACUACAUGUUUUGAGCAUAGAUGGAGAGGGAGGGAGGGAGAGAGAGAUGAACCUGGAAUGGUCAGGUCGUGGAGAGGGUGCAGGCAGCUCCGGUGGUGUUGGUGAGGGGCGUGGAGCGAUGGAAGGAGGCGGAUACGGAGGGAAGCUGGGGGAGGUAGUGGGUAGCGGCGACCGGCAGGAGGAAAAGGCGGCGGGCCUGGAGCCCCCCGUCACGGCGGCGCCCUUGUUGGCGGUCUGCUCCUCUCAUGGUGAGAGGGGCCGGCGCUAGCUCAUGCGCCAGUCCCCCGCCCACAGCGCAUGGCCAGUCGCCGGCGGAGAGGGCGGCGGAGCGGGGUAGGGUUGGUGGGCGGAGCUAGCUCUGGAAUGGAUCCGGGGAGCGGAGGAGGAAGGGCU